GCCCAGCAAGGCUUAGCGGGUUCCAGCGUAGUCUCAUGCUAUUCGUCACGAUCAAUCUCAAAAUCCCCCGCCGCAAGGCGUGCCGGUUCGAUUCCGGCCCUGGGCACCA
rnacentral:tRNA from 1 species